rnacentral:miRNA from 1 species
AUGUAAUAAACCUACACGUUCUACACAUUUAUCCCAGAAUUUAAAGUGUAUGUGUAUGUGUGUGUGUAUAUAUAUACACACACACACACACACAUACUGAUAAAAUAUAUAUA